rnacentral:lncRNA from 1 species
AAUAAAAAUACCAACGGAGGCUCAGGUCGGUGGAACAAUGUGCUGAGGUCACAAGCCAGCAGUGAGGGAGUCUGGAUUCAAGGGCAGGUGUGCUUUACUUCCAGUCUCAGGCUUUGUCUAACAUCACGCCUGCCUGGAAGCCUUCACAGCACUUAGCAGAGUGACCUGUCCCCAAAUCCCCAGGGAUAUAAGGGAAGUGAAUGGAGAUGGAAUCCUACCAUGUGUGCCGUGUAUUCCGCGGUUUCUGCUGUCUCCUCAGAUCUUUUGAGGCAGACAGAGCCUCCUAGCCCUUCAUGUGCUGGCAGGCAGUCUGUGUUUUCCGUCUGAGAUUAUAGUGAACUCCUAAAAUUAGUUGCCCAGGCCCAGACCCCAGCUCCUGGGAAAUUCAUUUUACAGCAAACCAGCUCUUGUGAGGCAGGAAGCAGGGGCACUCUGGUAACAGGAGCCUUACCUAGAGGAGAGCACCGCCUGACCUUUGACCUCUCACCAGAGCUUCAGAGCAGAGACAGAAGAGCCCAGAAGGAAGCGGGUCUGCACAGCCCCAAGCAGUUCUUGAUCCUCCUGACAAGAAUGAGCCCGACUUGGUGAUCCUACUACGUUCAGAAGCCAACACACUGUGACAAUGGGGAGUUUGAGCCAUCCUUUAGAGGAGCCAGAUGCUGCUGUCACACGUCUGACACCACAUGUGGCACUAGUGAUGUUAUCCUGACCUCAGAGAAUCCCACAGUGAAUGUUCGUGAAGGGUUUCCAUGGUCGUCUACUUUUGUCUCAUUUGAAACUUUAAAGAAAUUGGACCUGAGAGAGUCAGUGAAUUGUCCAGGGCCACCUGUUUGUGACUCUGUCUCAAGACCAUGUUUCAGUGGAUCUUCAUUUUUCUUGAUGAGUGGUGAUCGGUUGGUUGUGUGUCUGUUCCACAAUUUAUCCAUUCUCCCGUGGAUGCAUCUUCAGAUUGUGUCCAGCCGUGAACAUUCAUAUGUGGAUAUACGUCUUCAUUCUCUUGGGUUAAUACCAAGGAGUGAGUGGGAUUGCUGGGUCUCAUAAUAAGUGUAUGUUUAAUCUAAGAAGCUGUCAAACCGUGUUUCAAAGUGGCUGCACCAUUUUGCAUUCC